GCCCGCGUAGCUCAAUGGCUAGAGCGUGGGACUUUUAUUCAAACGAAAAUCAAAUCCCAAGGCUGUGGGUUCGAGUCCCACCGUGGGCG